AGCUUCGGCAACUCUUGCUAUGU
rnacentral:miRNA from 1 species